CGAGGGGGGCAAGUGUUGUUCGGAAUCACUGGGCGUAAAGGGAGCGUAGGCGGAUGUUUAAGUCGGGAGUUUAAAACCGGGGCCCAACCCCGGAGCGGCUCCCGAAACUGGGCAUCUUGAAUAGGUCAGAGGCUGGUGGAAUUGGAGGUGUAGCGGUGGAAUGCGUAGAGAUCUCCAAGAACACCUAUUGCGAAGGCAGCCAGCUGGGACCAUAUUGACGCUGAGGCUCGAAAGCAUGGGGAGCAAACAGGAUUAGAUACCCUGGCAGUCCAUGCCGUAAACGAUGAACACUAGGUUUUGGGCUCGUCAACGGUCCAGAGCCGCAGCUAACGCGUUAAGUGUUCCGCCUGGGGAAUACGGUCGCAAGACUG
rnacentral:rRNA from 1 species